ACGGCCACAUCACAUUGGAAAACCAGUUCAAUCACCGAAGUUAAGCAACGUCGAGCCUGGUCAGUAUGUAGAUGGGUGACCACAUGGGAAUAUGAGGUGCUGUAAG